rnacentral:tRNA from 1 species
AGGGGUAUCGCCAAGUUGGAAAGGCAACGGAUUUUGAUUCCGUCAUUCGCUGGUUCGAGUCCAGCUACCCCCG